UGGCAAGCUGUGGUAGUCCUUACAUCUGCAAGAUGCCCAGUGGGUUGUUUUCUGCUCACCCCAAAGAACCAGCAGCUCUAGGUCUGUAGCUCUUCUAGCUCUCUGAGUUGGUUCCGAAGUGUGUGAUAGCGCAGCAUCCCAAGAGAGACAAAGAUCAAGGUAUCUCCAAGCCAUCUCUUUUAGUAUGACACGCUCAGCAAACAAACUCUACCCUCAAAAUGAAGCAUUCCUGUCAUAAACCACCUACACACCUUUUCCCUCGUGGGCAGCAAGGAAAGGGCGAAGGGCCCGUCUGUGAGAGAUGCCCGACAGUCACUCAGGCUGAAAUUUGUCUCACCUAAUGUCAGUCAUCAGCGCUGAACCGAAAUGAGUCGCCGUUUGUAGAUAAUGGAGAGCGACUGGCAUCUCCUGAAAGCAAUUCACUCCAUCUGCCCGAGACACCUAUUUAGGAUGGCACCAGCAGCCCUGCGGUGAAACCUGUCUCUUCCCAUUGACCGGAGGCGAAGCCUGCCUGACUCAUUAGCGCUCGUCUAUUCCUCCUCCAAGAGAGCCUGACAAAAGUGGAGCAAAAAUAAUAAUAAUAAAAAAAGAAAGUAGAGGCACGUUCAUCUCUGCUCCUCUCCGACACGCACAAAGGGCUGGGAGGGAGCUGUUGGCCCAGGACAAAAUUGGCAGGGUAAUAAGUUUUCUCGUUGGCCUUUGAAGAUGAGAGAAGAAGCAGUCGAUUGUCACAGAGAGAGCGAGCGCGUCCCUUUAAACCACAAAGCCUUCAAAGAUAGCCCGGAGUCCCAAAAAUAAAGGCUUCACACUGCCUUCCUCUGUCACCCCCGGACAGAAAUAGUAGCCUAGUGGGAACCAUUAUAGCCGUGAUGAGAGGAGCCAGUCUGCUCCGAUGAAUGCGGAGAGCCCGAAGGCUGCUCCCGGGGCAGCUGGUCGGGCUCUGGUCUCCAUCACCCGGACCGACAGCACUCGUGGAGGCGAGCCCUGCGCUGGGAAAUUUGGCUUUUGCCUCCCGGUAUGGAAAUGAGGCACCUGCACCGAGGCAGGAUUGCUCCCCAUGGCCCAUUUUGUCUCCCGGCCUUUGUCUUGAUCUAUUCCGAACGUCCCAAGGAGAGCCGGGGGGCUCAGGCUGAGUUCAGGGCUAUCAAUGAAACCGGUGUCCCCCGAGGCCCCGACGUGGGGUUUUAUGGCACAUCCAUCUCCGCGUGACGGAGCUGUGCCUUCUGCAUCCUUUGUGGAGGUGUCGCCCCCUCUUUGGGACAGCUGGUGGCCCGCUUUCAUCGGCGUAAAAUUCAUUCAGAGUGCUAAAAUACGGUGCACGGUGCAGGACCCAGAUGAAAAAAAAAA